rnacentral:ncRNA from 1 species
UUAAAGACUGGGAACGGGAGGAGUAAUUCAGUUUGUUCUUCUCCAGAGAGAGGGGACCAGAGGCUGAAAGUCCCCUUAGAAGAGACUGAAUGAAGGUCGCCCGGGAGUUGCCUGGCUGAAUAGAGUAGGUCGGGACGGUUAAACCGUUAUCUUGGCAUGAGAGCUACUUCACCGUUAUCGUUAUAGUGGUGGAGUAGAAGUAAGGUGGUACCACGGAAGAAAGGUCCUCUUUCGUCCUUAAC